UCACCGCUUGCGCGGGCAGUUCUAUUAGAGUCCCCAGCAUAACCUGAUGGCAACUAAUAGUAGGGGUUGCGCUCGUUGCAGGACUUAACCUAACACCUCACGGCACGAGCUGACGACAGCCAUGCAGCACCUAGUUUCGUGUCAUUGCUGACUGACCCUUUUCUGAGUCAUUCACUAACUUUCAAGCCCGGGUAAGGUUCCUCGCGUAUCAUCGAAUUAAACCACAUGCUCCUCCGCUUGUGCGGGCCCCCGUCAAUUCCUUUGAGUUUCAACCUUGCGGUCGUACUUCCCAGGUGGAUAACUUAAUGCUUUCGCUUAGACGCGUGCUGUGUAUCGCACACAUCGAGUUAUCAUCGUUUAGGGCGUGGACUAC
rnacentral:misc_RNA from 1 species